CCUACGGGGGGCAGCAGUGGGGAAUUUUGCGCAAUGCUCGUAAGAGUGACGCAGCGACGCCGCGUGAAUGACGAAGGCCUUCGGGUCGUAAAGUUCUUUCGGCAGGGAAGAAAAUGCCUAUAAGUAACUGUGUAUGUAUUGACGGUACCUGCAUAAGCAGCCCCGGCUAACUCCGUGCCAGCAGCCGCGGUAAUACGGAGGGGGCGAGCGUUGUUCGGAGUGACUGGGCGUAAAGCGCACGUAGGCGGUGUUGUAAGUCAUUAGUCAAAGACUAGAGCUCAACUUUAGUAAGGCUAGUGAUACUAUAAUACUAGAGUAUCAGAGAGGAUAGCGGAAUUCCUGGUGUAGCGGUGAAAUGCGUAGAUAUCAGGAGGAAUACCAUUAGCGAAGGCAGCCAUCUGGCUGGAAACUGACACUGAGGCUCGAAAGUGUGGGUAUCAAACAGGAUUAGAUACCCCAGUAGUC
rnacentral:rRNA from 1 species